GGAGAGAUGCCCGAGAGGCCGAAGGGGCACGAUUGGAAAUCGUGUAUUCCGCUUAUAACGGGAUCGAGGGUUCGGCGCCCCCGAAGGGGAAGGCGGAGGGAGCGAAGCGAGUGAGCACAUCCCUCUCUCUCGG
rnacentral:tRNA from 1 species